GAGGCUGUGGCCUAAUGGCAGGGCGCCUGCUUGGCAUGCAGGAGGCCCCGGGUUCGAUUCCUGGCAGCAUCU